CUUUCCUGUUAUGCGUAUGACUACAUUUGAUGUAGCACUAAGCAGCGCAUUGAUACAAUAGUUAGAGAGUUAAAGCAUACAAGUAAAUAAUUGACUGACGUAUACUGAAGUGAAGUUAACCAAAACAUUGUCACUUUACUCUGGUGUUUAUUGAUUGUUUGUUGUGAAGUGAAGAACAUAACAUCCGCUCAGUUAGAAACACAUAAAACUACAAGAGUGUCUUCUACUACACACUGUUAAGCAUGUUAUUAAAUACUGUGUUCUUAAUUUUGAAGCAUAAUUCCUAAAUUAACUCUCAUCUGUAAAUCAUGCCUAUACACAAUUAUGUUUGUUCAUAGCAAACACGCGCAUCUGUUUUAUAUUUCUGAAUUUAUAGCUAAAAUAGCCAUGGGCAGGCGUAGUGUAGUGGAUAAGGCAUUGGGCUAGCAUGCUGUAAGCUUAAGAAUAUUCGGGGUUCAAUCCCCGGGUGCCACCAUUGUGGCUUUGCUCUUUAAUUUCAUUGAUAGUGUAAGUCUCUUUGGAUGAAAGUGUCUUAAUAAAUGCAACUGUAACCUUUAUAACUGAUUUGUAAAUAUGUAGCAAGGCAUAUACAGUCCUCACUUUAGAUCAGCUCACAAAAAUCAUUAACUAUAACCACUUGUAACUCCUGAGUUAAUCAUGAAUUACAGUAUGAGAAUUAACAUAGGAGUAAUACUUUACAAAUGAUGAUCAACGCAUUUACUAAUAGUUUGUAACUGGUUCAUAAUAGGGAUAUGAUUUCAUUUAUACAUGGUUAUUUCAUUAUAUAUAAGGCAUAAACCAUGUAUUUACAAACAUUUGUUUUAUUUACUAUGAACAAACCAUUCAUAACUUUGUGAACAAAUGCUUUACUGAUGAUGAAUUAUGCAUGAACAAUAAAUUACUAAUGAUGAACAAACGAUUAACUAAUGAUUAACAAAUGCUUAAUAAAUGAUAAAUUGUGUGUAGUUAUUAUAAAGUGUUACCGAACUCUUUGAUGUUCUUGGUGUUGCGAACCAGGUUGUCGUUGGUGCUCUACAUCACAUUGUUAGAUGCUAAAUCUCCUCUCUGCAGGCCGUCUAAUCAUUGUUGCUGAUGAGACCAAUCACCGCUGUGCACUCUUAAAAUUGGGAGAGCCUCCAGUCACUUUCGUAGUUUGCAUGGAGAGGAGGUUCCUGGAGGAACCCCAAACUUGUUCAAAUUUCUAAGUCCAACGGUUUUCGUCACUUGGCCAAGUCUGCAGCAAACAGCUAACAGGUGGGUAAUCUUUUGAUUUGUAGAUAAAGUUAUUGAUGCUCCCAUUUAGAUGUCGAUAAUAAUAUUACAUGGAUUAAAGGGUCGCGUUAUUUAUGUUAGCCAUGUUUACGUUACAGUCCAUGCUAGCUUGAUAUUGAUUUUUUUUUACUGCUAGCAAUCAAGUGUUUUCAGACAUGUUUAGUCCAACAGCAGAAUGACCAGUUUUAACUGUCAUUCGACCCAUAAAGGUAUAUGAAAGUCAGCUAGCUACUUAUUUUCCACUUCCCAGGCAGUUAGCCUAAGCCUCCUGCCUUGUUAACGUUUAGUGUAAGUGGCGGGGGUCUCCUAGUUGUUGGUGCGUUAACAUUAGCCAGAGACGGUCAUCAUAUUGCUAACUUCAUGAUAACAUUUGACGUUUUUUUUAUAUGUCGACGUUCGUUAUAUCGUUACAGAUGUAUGAAACUAAAGGUGUAUGUUACUGCUAACUUGGGGUAGCCUAUGAGGUCUACCUUGGCUUUUUCCAUGGUGUUAUGAUAAACUUGCUCAAUUACGAAAAUCUAGCGUCGUCCCUUUAUGAACCUAGCUAAUAGUAGUAGACGGUUUCCCCAAUAGCAGCUAGGCCUAGCCUACAGCAAACAAGACUACAGCACUGCUAACCAUACAUUCACUUAAUAAAACAAGCUAUUCAUGAAACUUUCUUUCUUAUCUUUCUUUUUUAUUUUUGCAGAAUGAACAGAUCAUCAACAUCGCAGUGGCCAGUUGAGGUUGUCUGUGAGUGGCUUGAAUCAAAUAACCUGGACCAGUACACAGAAGAAUUCAGAGAGAAUGACAUCGAUGGAGAAACCUUGCUUUUACUGACAGACCAUAUGGUUGAAAAUCUCAUUCCAAAUAUCAGAAAUCAGGUUGUUUUCCUAAAAAAGCUGGAGAGUUUAAAGCAAAGAAAUGAAUCUGAAGCCAAUACUUCAUCAUCUGGAACCCCAGAAAUCCCAAAAGAACCCCCCCACAACAAAAAAGGAAUGGCCAGUCACUUGCAGGC